CGGUCCGUGGUGGAAUGGCAGACACACCAGCUUGAGGUGCUGGCGCUCCUUCGUGGGCAGUGAGGGUUCGACUCCCUCCGGACCGACCA
rnacentral:tRNA from 1 species